UACAUGGGGUGCAAACGUUGCUCGGAAUUAUUGGGCGUAAAGCGCACGUAGGCGGUUUGUUAAGUCGGAUGUGAAAUCCCUCGGCUCAACUGAGGAAGUGCAUCCGGAACUGGCAGGCUUGAGUACUAAAGAGGGUCGCGGAAUUCCCGGUGUAGAGGUGAAAUUCGUAGAUAUCGGGAGGAACACCGGUGGCGAAGGCGGCGACCUGGGUAGAUACUGACGCUGAGGUGCGAAAGCGUGGGGAGCAAACAGG
rnacentral:rRNA from 1 species